UCAAAUUGUCUAAGAUAUAGCUUAAAUCACAAGUACAAGUAAAUCGGGCUACUUACUACCCUUAGAUUCCAAGCGCUAACUUCAACUGCCAAUAUCUCCUUGAUUAAAGCUUAGAAUUUGACAAACAGUAAGCAUAAAUUAUAGCCAAAAAAGUGCUCUCUUCAACUCCAGUCGCCGAUCCUCGUUUUCUAUCUGUAUGCGUGCGCAAUGAC
rnacentral:lncRNA from 1 species